rnacentral:rRNA from 1 species
AGCGAACGCUGGCGGCAGGCUUAACACAUGCAAGUCGAACGCCCGGGCAACCGGGAGUGGCAGACGGGUGAGUAACGCGUGGGACCGUACCCUUUGGUUCGGAAUAACUCAGGGAAACUUGAGCUAAUACCGGAUACGCCCCGAGAGGGGGAAAGAUUUAUUGCCGAAGGAUCGGCCCGCGUCCGAUUAGCUAGUUGGUGUGGUAAUGGCGCACCAAGGCGACGAUCGGUAGCUGGUCUGAGAGGAUGAUCAGCCACACUGGGACUGAGACACGGCCCAGACUCCUACGGGAGGCAGCAGUGGGGAAUAUUGGACAAUGGGGGCAACCCUGAUCCAGCCAUGCCGCGUGAGUGAUGAAGGCCUUAGGGUUGUAAAGCUCUUUCGGCGGGGACGAUAAUGACGGUACCCGCAGAAGAAGCCCCGGCUAACUUCGUGCCAGCCGCCGCCGUAAGAC